rnacentral:rRNA from 1 species
UAAGGAAUUUUGGACAAUGGGCGAAAGCCUGAUCCAGCAAUGCCGCGUGCAGGAUGAAGGCCUUCGGGUUGUAAACUGCUUUUGUACGGAACGAAAAAGCUUCUCCUAAUACGAGAGGCCCAUGACGGUACCGUAAGAAUAAGCACCGGCUAACUACGUGCCAGCAGCCGCGGUAAUACGUAGGGUGCAAGCGUUAAUCGGAAUUACUGGGCGUAAAGCGUGCGCAGGCGGUUUUGUAAGACAGAGGUGAAAUCCCCGGGCUCAACCUGGGAAUUGCCUUUGUGACUGCAAGGCUUGAGUGCGGCAGAGGGGGAUGGAAUUCCGCGUGUAGCAGUGAAAUGCGUAGAUAUGCGGAGGAACACCGAUGGCGAAGGCAAUCCCCUGGGCCUGCACUGACGCUCAUGCACGAAAGCGUGGGGAGCAAACA